UGGGGUUGGGCACCAAUAACUGUUAGGUGAGGACCCAAUGAUGACUUUAUUCCUACGGUUAUACGGUGGGUCUGACUUAACUAAGAAAUGGGACCAAUAACUGUUAGGUGAGGUCUUCAUGGCUUAGAGACCAAGUUACACUGCAACAUGCUUGAGAAGCAUUGUACAAGAGUUGUACAUUCAUCAAUCUAUGUGUCACCAAUAACUGUUAGGUGAGGUGGCAUGUAAAUCAGUGGGACCGCAGUACCCACUAGAAACCCUAGUCGUGUGGGAUUUCCGUUUUCCUACCAGGGGAGUGUGAGGAAUUCGAGAAAAUAGUGGGAGUUACAUUUGUUCUAAAAGACCUUAGAACAGAUUAGGAUCAAGUACAAAAGUCUAACUAGAAUCUUUACUCUCUGCAGAUACAAUGUCGGCUUCAAACCCUCUGACCCGUAUUCUUGAGACCAACCGACUGACCGGAACCAAUUACAAAGACUGGCUUAGAAAUCUCAAAAUAGUUUUGGACUGUGAGAAGAUAGGUUACAUACUCGAUUCAGAUAUCCCCACA
rnacentral:lncRNA from 1 species